CUGCAACAGUUAUUGUGUGUAUACAUGAUAGAUCAAUGGGACGCUGUUUGUCAUCGUCAUAAUCAUCACAGACAUCAACACACCCAAUGAUUAACAUUACUAUUACCAAAUCACGUGUAUAUUGCAGACUAAUUAAUAUCCCGCCUAAUAUUCUUUCCCGCAUUAUCUUCAAACGCUGGUGUUGUGUAAACAUCGGGAGCCGCCUUCCGUUAUCGUGAUCCAUAGUCUCGUGAAUUAUCGCGUGUUUAUCUCGUGAGUUAUCACGUGUUUAUGUUUUGAAUUGCGGCAUGAAAGGGGCGACAUUACAAUGUUUGGCGAUGUCAACAUCUUUGCGUCAAAACAAAGCCGGGUUAUAGAAAACAGCGGACUGGUGAUCUCACUGUCAGGGUAGACAUUUCUAAUCUUAUGUUAACUCCAUCUGCAUGAAGCACAACAAAGUUCUUCCUUAAAUCCCACCAUGUUUCUCCGACAGUUUGUUUUGUGUGUGGUCUUCUCACUGAUUUUGGUAGAGAAAAGUCAUGCGGAGCUGAAGGGACACACAGUUUUAAAACAUCUGGUCAGGAGAUGGAACGAGGAAGUGUUCGGCUGUCAUUGUUCUUUCACGGUUCACUGCACAAGUGACUCUAACUGUCAUGUGCACGGGCACCAUUUCCGUUGUGUAGCGGAUUGCUGCGGAACGAAGUGUCACGCCACUGAAGAGAGCACACUAAUGCAUCAUGGACAUCAUAAAUAAGCCACAUACAUUAAGUCGGGCAUUGCACAACUGUUCAUCACCACAACAAAGUCCGGAGAUUGACAUUUCAUGUGAAAUUCGAAUAUUUGGAAUAAAAGUAUAACUUGCA